GGUGGUGGCCGUUCUGAGGACGUGGAUUUGGCAACAAACCCAGCUUUGCUUCAUCUGGAAAGAAGACCACAUUCGACGACUAGUAACGAGUCCAUAAGUUCUGGGGUAUUAUCAAGGCCCGGCUCCACACUGGCAUUUGAGUUUAGGAAAAGUUUUGUUUGUUUACUGUUUAGGGGCAGCAUAAUUUAGUUUUGGUUGCUAAUCUGGAUCAAUUAAUGUUUGGAUCUUGUGAGUUCAAUUUUGUGCUAUUAUUCAAGGUUAUGUUUGCUCA